UACAAAUUUUGCAUCCCAGUGGAUUGAACUUUAACAUUCACAGUGGGGGGAAAUUAGAUUAAGUGUUUCUUUGAAUACGCUAGUCGAGUAAGAAGGCGUUGUAGCACAUCAGUGAUAAAACCUUAAUAAACUUUGAGUAAUGAUAACCUAAGCAUUAAAAAGGGAUCAUUCUCAUGACAUUCUACAAAUAUCAUACAUAAACAUCUAGUUAGGAUUAUUUGAUUCAUUCUAAUCAUGACAUCCUAAACACUAGGCAUAAAUAGGUCC
rnacentral:lncRNA from 1 species